rnacentral:rRNA from 1 species
UUUCGCAAUGCCCGAAAGGGUGACGAAGCGACGCCGCGUGCGGGAAGAAGGCCUUCGGGUUGUAAACCGCUGUCGGGAGUUAAGAAAUGCAAGGGUGUUAAUAGUAUCCUUGCUUGACUAAGGCUCCGGAGGAAGCCACGGCUAACUCUGUGCCAGCAGCCGCGGUAAUACAGAGGCGGCAAGCGUUGUUCGGAAUUAUUGGGCGUAAAGAGCACGUAGGCGGCUAUAUAAGUCGGUUGUGAAAGCCUUCCGCUCAACGGGAGAACAGCAUCCGAUACUGUGUGGCUUGAGUGUGGGAGGGGAGAGCGGAACUUCUGGUGGAGCGGUGAAAUGCGUAGAUAUCAGAAGGAACGCCGGCGGCGAAAGCGGCUCUCUGGCCCAUAACUGACGCUGAGUGUGCGAAAGCUAGGGGAGCAAACGGGAUUAGAUACCCCGGUAGUCCUAGCCGUAAACGAUGGGCACUAAGUAGAGGGGUAUU